rnacentral:lncRNA from 1 species
UUUGCAUCACCAUCUCAUUUUCUAAAAAAAAAGUUUCAUUUGAGUUUUUAACUUAUCAAAAGAUUUAAAUUUUAAAAAUAAAACCAAUAUUAUCCUCAUUUUUUUGUUGUUUCAAAAGUUUUAACACUUUUUAAGUCCUACAUCAGAUAUGUGAAAGCGAGUAUCCUUGUUUAAAUAUAUUUCUUUUUCUAAGAAGCCAA